UACGUAGGGUGCAAGCGUUGUCCGGAAUUAUUGGGCGUAAAGAGCUCGUAGGCGGUCUGUCGCGUCUGCUGUGAAAAUCCGGGGCUCAACCCCGGACUUGCAGUGGGUACGGGCAGACUAGAGUGUGGUAGGGGAGACUGGAAUUCCUGGUGUAGCGGUGGAAUGCGCAGAUAUCAGGAGGAACACCGAUGGCGAAGGCAGGUCUCUGGGCCACUACUGACGCUGAGAAGCGAAAGCAUGGGGAGCGAACAGG
rnacentral:rRNA from 1 species